rnacentral:rRNA from 1 species
AUUGAACGCUGGCGGCAGGCCUAACACAUGCAAGUCGAACGAGUGGCGGACGGGUGAGUAAUGUCUGGGCAACUGCCUGAUGGAGGGGGAUAACUACUGGAAACUGUAGCUAAUACCGCAUCCCAUCGGAUGUGCCCCGAUGGGAUUAGCUAGUAGGUGGUGUAACGUCUCACCUAGGCGACUAUCCCUAGCUGGUCUGAGAGGAUGACCAGCCACACGGGAACGGAGAAACUGUCCAGACGCCUACGGGAGGCAGCAGUGGGGAAUAUUGCACAAUGGGCGAAAGCCUGAUGCAGCCAGGCCGCGUGUAUGAAGAAGGCAGUCGGGUGGUAAAGUACUUUCAGCGGGGAGGCGUUACCCGCAGAAGAAGCACCGGCUAACUCCGUGCCAGCAGCCGCGGUAAUAC